rnacentral:lncRNA from 1 species
UCUUUGAUUUAUGUUCAUAUCUCCUAGAUCUUGUGUUAUGAUUUAGAAAAUUUCUAACAGCACUCUAUAGCUCCAUGCAGAAUUCUAAUUAGUGCCACCUUAAAACCAUAAGCCCUAUCUUCCUCCUCGGAUUCCAGAAUUCUAGGGUUUUGCAUUGUAAUUAAGGGGGGGUGUAGAUCUCAGAAAGCAACUGUGGCUAUGGAUCUAAGGGUGGGAGAGGGCCGGUUAGGUUGCUCAAAAUGGUGGAUGGAGUGUAUUUAGUAAAUUGCCAAUCACUCUCUCGUUCUAGCAUUUGAAUAAGAGAAAUUACUCACCCCAACCUUCAAAAAAGUUUAUUUGUGAUUAUGAUUGACCUAUAUUACUAGCAUUUUUAGCUUGACACUUAUCAGCGUGUCUCUUUAAGUAGUUUGUACCGUUGAUAGAACUUGUAAAAAUACAUUCACAGUAAUUACAAAAAGCUUUAUUCACUAUUUUUUCAUUUUCAGUGAUUGAACUAGUUGAAAAUAUUGCCAAACUAUCGAUCUUACUCUCUUAGAUGUCCUACCGACGCUACUAGAUGUGCUCGUGUUGGCAGCGGGUUCGAUUGAAUUAUUUGAGGUCAUUUCAGGUAUAUUAUCAUCACUCUAGGCCUUAAACUCAUUGUAUCUAGCCUCUUCAAAAUCUUUUAAAAUGUAUCAUGAUCCAUUUUUUUUAAAAGUAUUUUUUUUAAAUACUAACGAUAAAAUAAAAUAAAUUUUGAUACAACAAUACCUCAAGUCCGAAGCGUUUACAAUAUCGGGAUUCAACACUUCUUCACAUUUGAGAAAUUUCAAGCAAUCAAGUAAUUGAAAUUUCUUCAACACUUUCAGAAAAUUAAAAUCUUCUUGAUAUUUGUAGAAUAUUGAGAGGUAAGUAUAGAAUUAUUAGAUUGAGUAAAAAUUGAGUAAUAAAAAAGUAUGGAGGAUUAGAGGUAUUUAUAAGAAAUUUUGUGAGCUCAUUUGAUCAAUUUAUAGUUGUUGUGGAGGGGUAUUUGAGUUAUUUAUAGCUCAAUUAUCAUUUCACUCAAAAACUAGUAGUUAUAUAGUUGCUGACGGGCCGAGCGAGUUGGGUGGCGUGGUGGGCCGUGCUAGUUGGGUUUCGUGUCCAAACGGGCGAGGCCGGACUUCGUUAGGAGUACCUAGCCUAAGUCCGGUUGGCGGCGAGCUUUAGGCCAUACCCAUGCUCGAAUGGGCCAACCGACCUAGCCCGUGCCAAGUCCAGGCCGUACAGAGGGCGGGCUCAUCAGACUGAACUUCUAAAUGCAAACAAAAGAAGUAUAGGGUUAAAUUUGAAAAAAAUAAAAUACUAAGGUUUAAUCAGUUACAAUGGUUAAAACUUGGACUUUUUAUGUAGUUUUCUCCAAUAAUUUCUAUUUUAAAAGGAAAUUAAUUUUCUAUUUUAUAUAUUUAAAAUAAAAAUAAAAAAGAUAGAGAAUGACGAGAAGGGAAAAAAAUUAAUUAAAAUGGUGAUACCACGUCACCGUUGCCACGUAGUAUAUAAUUCAAUUACAAACUGCCAUGUUUGCAUAAAUGUUAACAUAUCAGUUAUUAAAUUCACCAUCUAGAGUUCCUCAUUUUAUUUGUAAGUUUAUUAAUAAUUAGUUAUACUAUGUUAUCAAUACCACGUGAUAUAAUAAUUACAUUGAAGAUUUACUUGACGAGAAGGACAGGGGAAAACGAAAAAAAGACACAAAUUAAAAUUAAAUAGUGAGAAAGUCAAAGCUAAUUAAUGGAGAGAGAGAACCAACCAAUUAUAAGUUAGGGAAUAAUUUUUUCGUCCUGGCACAGCAAGAUUUUAUGAUUUUGAUAUUCUAAUUUGACCCUUUUAAUUUGAUAUUAAGAUUGAUUGUUUCACUAAUGUGAUAAUUUUUUAAAAACAUGAAUGACACGUGCUAUUAUCAUUCAAUACUAAAUUAUUAUGUAAGUAUAAUGAAUCUCAUUAUAUUUAUAUUAUGGUUAUUUAUUUUUUAAAAUUGACAAUUUCGUUCAAGUAAUAAGUUUCUUUUAUUUUUUAUAAAUAUUCAUUAUUAAAUUGUAAGAACACGUAUCGCUGUUAUAAAUGAAUUUUUACUCGUUAAUGAUGGAUUGGGACCCCAUGGAUAUUUCUCCUCCGAAGAUCAUGCGGAGAUUUUCACCUCAUCGUGCCAUGUGCUUUUUUUCAUCCUUGGCCUAAAAAGAAGCUUUGACGUGAAGACAAGAUCUUUUAAAUAGGACCGGACAUCAUCGUUUCACGACGGUGGCUGCUUGAAAGUAACGCUGUACCCUUGUUUUAUUUUACUCUAAUCAAAUUGUUUUAAUAGUUGUCUUUCUAAUUUCUACAACUCGAAUUUUGUAGGCUAGCAAAUAUGAUAAAAAAUCAGAAUAUAAAAAUUUAAGAAUUAGGAAAGGCACAUUUAGAAUGCAUAUUUAAGAUAGUAAUUUUCUCGCUAUGAUGCAAAUAAACUCUUGAAAAUUUUAUCUCAAAAAUACAAUGCCUAUUAAUUUAAGAUUAAUUAAGGCUGCACUCCUUAAUAAUCUUAGGAUCAGAAUAUCACCCCAAAAAAGAAUAAUAAUAAAGAAUAGAAAGAGAGAAAAAUUUUCACUUCAUUUUGGAUUUCUUUAGUCUUAUUUAUAGAGAAUCAAGGAUAUCUCAAACUAUCAUACAUUUUCACUGAUAUGGGACUAAAGCCUCAAUCGUUUAAAGUUCGUAAUUUUUUGCAUACUAGCCGUUUUGGACAAAGUUCCAAUGGUCAAAAUUAUAGCCGUUGUGAGAUGAAGUCCCAACAGACUAAAAUUAAAACGAAACAACGCAUACUAAAUUAAACGAUAUUAAAACAAUCAUUAAUUAAAAUAAUAAUUAUUAUCAUUAAUUUAAAUUUUAAACUAAAAUCUCAUUUUUUUUCUCCUUUAUAUAUAUAUAGUUGAAAAGAAUAGAAGAAGAAUUUGUAGUAUGCUGAGAUCGAGAUCAUAAGUAUUUAUACACAAAGUAAAUUAAGUGAGGGGGAACAUGAUCCCUAAUUUAGGCUAAAAGUAAUGGGACAUGAUUCCUAAUUUAGGCUAAUAGUAAGGGGACAUGAUCCCUAAUUUAUGUCCUAAAUUGUGCCAUAAUAUAUGACACAAUAUAUUCUAAUCAAUCCUUAUUUUCAACACUUUCCCUCGAGCUGAGAGAAGAUACCAAUCAAGCUCCCAGUUUGACAAUAGAGGACUAAAGCGGAGACCGAACAAACUGGAAGACCCUAAUGGGAAAAGACAUUGAAAAAUUGAUAGAAAAGGCUAUGCAAGAUUGCAGGUUGAACGAUGCAGUAAGAGGCUGUGUAGAGAUAGUAAAGGCCCAAACGUCUAAAAGACCUCAAGAUAUCGACGACAAAGGCUAUGUGAGGUCGUAGACUGCAAGAGGCUGCAGGAUGUUGCAUGAGGCAAUAUGAGACUGCAAAGGGGUUGCAGGAAGGCCUAAAAGGCUGCACAAAGGCCGCAGGAAUAUCCAAGAGGUUGCAGGAAGUCUGCAGGAAGCUCCAAGAGACUGCAAGAAGUUUUAGAAGCCUGUAGGAGGCUGUUGGGGGCUGGAAAAGGGGUUGUAAGAGGCUGCAGGAAGGAAGCAGGGGCUGCAUCCGGCCACGACAGAGCCGACAACGAUGACGAAAGUCGAAGGGGCUAACCAAGAGCAACCUUGCUCUGAUACCAAGUUAAAAAGAAUAGAAAAAAAAUUUGUAGUAUAUUAAGAUUGAUCUGAUACUUCUUUGGGUAAAUAUCACUGACCUCCUCCUGAGGUUUAGUAUAAAGACAGGAAGCUCCCCUGUACUUUUGAAAAAUUACGGCUGACCUCCCCGCAGACUUUGUCUCCCCCAUUUUGCAAGCCAAAAUUAUCAUUUUGCCCCCCUCACUCACGCCCGGCACCGCCCCCCCCCCCCCCCCCCCCCCCCCGAUUUUUUUUUUUAAUUUUUUAUUAAGUUUUUUUAUCUAAUUUAUUUCUCUUUUUUAUAGGUUUUAUUCUUUGGGAUAAAUUAUUAUAUUUUUUUUUGUUUUGUUACUUUUUUUAUUAAUAAUUUUCUUUUUAUUAGUUUGGUCUCUUUUUUUAUUAAAAAAUUAGUUAUUACUAAUAACAAAACACUAAUCAAAAAAAUAGUUUUUUGUUUAUUAUUAUUUUUAUUAUGUUUUUUGUUUAAUUUUUGUAUUUUAUAUAUAUGUUUUUAUUUUAAUUCAUAUUUUAAUACUUUUUUUAAUUUUUAUAAUAUGACUCUCAAAAUAAAUUUGUUAAAAAAUAAAAAAAACUACUCAAAUUAAAAUAAACAAACUAAAUAAAAAAAUAAAAAAAAUGAAAGAAGAGAUAGCAAAAUUUGUUUAGGCUGUUUUUCUUCAUUCAUUUUUUUUUAUUUUUAUUAGUUUUGUUUAUUUGAUUUUAUUUUUUUUUUUAAUUUUUUAAAAUCAAUUUUGGGCGUCAUUAUUAUAAAUUUAAAAAAAUAUAAAAAUAUUAAUCAAAAUAAAAAACAUAUCUAUAAAAAUAACAAAUUAAACAAGAAAAAUUAAUAAAAAUAAUAAUAAAGAAAAAACUAUUUUUUUUUAUUUAGUUUAUUUUGUUUAUUAUGUAAUAACUAAUUUUUAAUAAAAAGAACAACUAAAUAAAAAUAAAAUUAUAUUAAUAAAAAAAGUCAAAACAAAAAAAAAUAUAUAAUUUAUCCAAAAGAAAAAUAAAACCUAUAAAAAGGAGAAAUAAAUUAGAUUUAAAAAAACUUAAUAAAAUAAAAAAAAAUCGGGGGGGGGGGGGGGGGGGGGGGGGGGGGGUUGGUGGGCUGCUGCUGAGUGAGGGGGGGUAAAAUGUAAUUGUUGCUUGCAAUAAUGGGGAGACAAAGUAUGACAGGGGAGAUCAGUGUAAUUUUUCAAGUACCGGGGAGCUUCCUGUCUUAUACUAAAAACCUCAGGGGAGGUCAUUAUAUUUACCGCUAAUUAUUUAUACAUGAAGUAAAGAAAGUGAGGGGUAACAUGAUCCCUAAUUUAGGCUAAAAAUAAGGGGAUAUGAUCUCUAAUUUAUGUCCUAAAUUGUGCCAUAGUAUAUAGCACAAUAUAUACGUCUCUCUCUCUCUCUCUAUAUAUAUAUAAGAAAAAUAGUAAAAGCAAACUAUGAGGUUUUUCAAAUGAGGAAUUUCAAAACUUGAGGAGAAAAUACCACUCAAAUACUUAGCUAAGCAAUGUGGGAUAAAUAUUCUCUCACAAAAAGAGAAUCACUACCAUAAAGAGCUUACCUUAGUAAUGUGGGAUAAAUUUCUCUUAUAUAAUGAAAGUCAUUUUCACUAGAAGCUUUUUAAGUAAUGUAGGGCAAACAUAUGUUAUAUAUAAAGACUCUCUCUCAGUAAAAACUUAGCUUACCAACAUGGAACAAAAUUUGCACUCACAUAAAUCUCUUUCAAGCUUAAAAAAUUAUUAAUAUAAAUGAUAUUCUUAUUAAUUAUUAGUAAAUAUAUUAUAAUAUAUAACACUACGAAUUUUGUAGGCUAGCUAAGUAGGGAGAGGAUAUUGGUGGUAGAAUAGGGUUCGGUUUCAGACCCGUAUCCUUCAUAUUCAUUCAAAUUUUUCUUGUGGACUCAUCUUGUAGCACUCAUUGUGUUGGUUAUUCAGCAAAAAAUCUAUCAUUGAAUAUUCGUAAACAUAAGAACAAAUUGCAUUUUUAAAAAUAAAACUAGUAGUUGUCUGUGUAUCGUCCAUACAAAAAAUCAACAAUUAAAUAUCCGUAAAUAUAAGAACAAAUUUUAUUUUUUUAAAUAAAUGUAGCAGUUGCCUCGUGCGAUGCACGUGAUUAAGAAUAUUUCUAAUUUUUUUAAAAGUUCAAUUAAAGUUAAAGACACACAGAGAAAUAAAAUAGUUAUAAAAAUAUUAUGAGUUGAAAGAGAAUCUAUUAAGAUUUAAAAAAAAAUCACAUAAAACUAACAAAUAUAGAUAUGAUAAAAUAUUUAUCAAAUAUGUGAGUAUGAGUUGAAUUUGUGGAGCUUAUCUUAAUUGUAACAAAUAUUUUUUAUUUAACCUGAAAUAAAGAAGAUAACCUAAAAAAAUCAAGCAAAGUUAAAAAUGGACCAAGUGAAAAAAUACUUACAAAAAAAAGAUUAUGAGAACAAAUACAUCCAUGAAAACUAAGAAAAAAACUAAAAGAUCCACACAAAAAUAGAUAAGAAAAUAUAUAUUGAAGAUAACCAUUUUGGGAUGAGCCCAUAAUAACUUUGACACCUUAUUUUGUUGUUUUAAGAAUUUAAAUUGGUGCAUAUUUUUUUUAAAGAUUUAAUUACUCUGUAAUUUAUUUUUAUAAAAAUUAAGUUAUUAAUUGAAAUAUAGAGUUUGAUAGGUUUUAAACUCUUAUUUAAUUAAAGUUUAUAAUUUAUAGGAAUUAAUAUAUAUAACUAUAAAUAAUUUUUAUAUAUUUAUCUGUUAUUGUUGUUGUGUUUUUUUCCCCCUAAUAAAACAUAUUAUUUAAUUCUAAGAUAAAUUUAGAUUUAAAUAUUCUUUUAUUUUAAUAAUAAUAAAUUAAAUAUAAAGUUUAAUUGUUUUAAAAUCCUUACGAAGUCAUGUACUAAAAUCUAUACUUUUGCAUUUAUACCUAAUUUGUAUUGGUUACAACUCUUUAUAAUUUGAAUUUUUUUAUAAAUUAAAAAACUUAUUUAUCUAAUCUAUAGGACUAUCACUGCCACGUGGCAUUUUAAAAAUAAAAAGUAUAGAGAGUGCCAUAUAGGCGCAGCCACGUGGCAUUUUAAAAAUAAAAAGUAUAGAGAGUGCCAUAUAGGCGCAACAUAAGAGAGAGAAAAAAUUGGGUAAAAUUCUAUUUUUAAUAAUAUAUAUAAAAAACGAUUGUUAUAACUAUAAACUUAAAUCGUUCAUUUAUUUUAAUAAAAAUGCGAUUAUUUAUGUGUUUAUAAAAUUCAGGUAAAAUUGAUUUUUUUUCACGGAUGAAAGGGAUACGAGAUGAAUGGUUCAUGUGCUCAAUGUGAGCUCGGGAACCCAUAUGAGGAAUUUGGAUGAGUAUUGGACAUGGGUCUGGGGUGAGCUGAACCUGGUAGAAUAGAUUUGAUCAGACGCCAACACUAGCGGUGGCAGGUGUCUGUGCCGCCACCAUCAUCAUCAUCCAUUGCAGAAGAUUCUCAACAAAGUUGGAAAGGUAAUUUCUCAUUCAAUUAAACCAAAAGCUCCACAUAAGGAUUCGAUUGCUGGUGCCUCAAAUAUGUUCUGCCAAAAAAAUUGGGUCUAAUUUUUUGUUUGGGAAAAUUGUCGAUUGAAUUUGCAAGUGAGUUAACUAUAUGGAAAAAGGUCUCCCGAAACUUUUUUUAUUAAUUCUGUUUCAUAUGC